rnacentral:lncRNA from 1 species
GAUGGUUGUUGUUAAGAGUGUUUCAUUUUUUAUAUAACUCCGAUAGCAUUUUAGGGACUCCCCACUUCAUUUCGAGGUGGUAAUGCUCUCUAAUAAUAUUUGAUAUAUUAAAAAAUAUAUUAAUAAACUAAAUACAAUUGAUGCAAGUCAAAAAUCACAAUUCUCAUGAUUUGAAGACACCAGAGACCGCUGGAACAUCCAUAAUCCAUAAGCCAAC